AUUGAACGCUGGCGGCAGGCUUAACACAUGCAAGUCGAGCGGGGAAGGGUAGCUUGCUACCUAACCUAGCGGCGGACGGGUGAGUAAUGCUUAGGAAUCUGCCAUUUAGUGGGGGACAACAUUCCGAAAGGAAUGCUAAUACCGCAUACGUCCUACGGGAGAAAGCAGGGGAUCUUCGGACCUUGCGCUAAAUGAUGAGCCUAAGUCGGAUUAGCUAGUUGGUGGGGUAAAGGCCUACCAAGGCGACGAUCUGUAGCGGGUCUGAGAGGAUGAUCCGCCACACUGGGACUGAGACACGGCCCAGACUCCUACGGGAGGCAGCAGUGGGGAAUAUUGGACAAUGGGCGGAAGCCUGAUCCAGCCAUGCCGCGUGUGUGAAGAAGGCCUUAUGGUUGUAAAGCACUUUAAGCGAGGAGGAGGCUACUUAGAUUAAUACUCUAGGAUAGUGGACGUUACUCGCAGAAUAAGCACCGGCUAACUCUGUGCCAGCCGCCGCCGUAA
rnacentral:rRNA from 1 species